rnacentral:rRNA from 1 species
AGAGUUUGAUCCUGGCUCAGGAUGAACGCUGGCGGCGUGCCUAACACAUGCAAGUCGAGCGAUUUACUUCGGUAAAGAGCGGCGGACGGGUGAGUAACGCGUGGGUAACCUGCCCUGUACACACGGAUAACAUACCGAAAGGUAUGCUAAUACGAGAUAAUAUGCUUUUAUCGCAUGGUAGAAGUAUCAAAGUUUUUGCGGUACAGGAUGGACCCGCGUCUGAUUAGCUAGUUGGUGAGGUAACGGCUCACCAAGGCGACGAUCAGUAGCCGACCUGAGAGGGUGAUCGGCCACAUUGGAACUGAGACACGGUCCAAACUCCUACGGGAGGCAGCAGUGGGGAAUAUUGCACAAUGGGCGAAAGCCUGAUGCAGCAACGCCGCGUGAGCGAUGAAGGCCUUCGGGUCGUAAAGCUCUGUCCUCAAGGAAGAUAAUGACGGUACUUGAGGAGGAAGCCCCGGCUAACUACGUGCCAGCAGCCGCGGU